GCCCAACCAUAACAUAACAAUAAAAUCACCCAUUGUUCGCCAAAUAACUACGAGUUAAAACUUAAAAUUUAAAAGACUUGACGGUACCUCACAUCAGCCUAGAGGAGCCUGUUCAAUAACCGAUACUCCACGAUCAACCCGACCCCCCCUAGCCUACAGUCUAUAUACCGCCGUCGCCAGCCUACCUUGUGAAAGAAACAGAGUAAGCCAAACAAUCACACACUAAAACGACAGGUCGAGGUGUAACUUAUGGGUGGGACAAGAAUGGGCUACAUUUCCCAACACAGGAAACACGGAUAAACCAUGAAACAAGAAACUGAAGGUGGAUUUAGCAGUACACUAGGAACAAAAUACCCAGUCGAAGACCGCAAUGAGGUGCGU
rnacentral:rRNA from 1 species